AAUAUGGGGCGAGACUGAACAUGUCACUCCGCCCACAAGUCUUUCAUUGGUUCAUGGAAACAGACGUUGAUGUAAUGUAUGCUUUCGAUUCCGGUUUUCAUCUCUGCAUGAUGCCGCCUGAGAUCCUGUAGUGUAUCCUACUGAGAGUUGUCAC